AUUGAACGCUGGCGGCAGGCUUAACACAUGCAAGUCGAGCGGGGGAAGGUAGCUUGCUACCGGACCUAGCGGCGGACGGGUGAGUAAUGCUUAGGAAUCUGCCUAUUAGUGGGGGACAACAUCUCGAAAGGGAUGCUAAUACCGCAUCCGUCCUACGGGAGAAAGCAGGGGAUCUUCGGAUCUUGCGCUAAUAGAUGAGCCUAAGUCGGAUUAGCUAGUUGGUGGGGUAAAGGCCUACCAAGGCGACGAUCUGUAGCGGGUCUGAGAGGAUGAUCCGCCACACUGGGACUGAGACACGGCCCAGACUCCUACGGGAGGCAGCAGUGGGGAAUAUUGGACAAUGGGGGGAACCCUGAUCCAGCCAUGCCGCGUGUGUGAAGAAGGCCUUAUGGUUGUAAAGCACUUUAAGCGAGGAGGAGGCUACUCUAGUUAAUACCUAGGGAUAGUGGACGUUACUCGCAGAAUAAGCACCGGCUAACUCUGUGCCAGCAGCCGCAGUAA
rnacentral:rRNA from 1 species